CACACGAGGGCAUGACCCACAUCGCCAUUCAGGACACGAUCGACGGGAAGAAUGUCGUCUGGAUGGAGAAGGUGACGGACGAGGAAUAUCUCGCGCCGCUGGGAAGCGAGUAGUCCGUGCCCCACGUCAUCGUGAAGCUCUGGCCCGGCAAAUCCGACGCGCAGAAGCGCGAUUUGUCCGCGGCCAUCGUCCGGGAUGUCACCCGUAUCCUGAAUUACGGCGAUGAAGCGGUGUCGGUCGGCUUCGAGGAGGUCCAG
rnacentral:misc_RNA from 1 species